rnacentral:tRNA from 1 species
GCUUCUGUAGUGUAGUCCGGUCAAACUAACCUUGAAUUCGAUUACGAGGUAAUAGGAUUAAGCAUUCGAGGCUCUCACCCUCGGGACCCGGGUUCAAAUCCCGGCAGAAGCA